rnacentral:piRNA from 1 species
UAAUUGCUGGCCAUGAUAUUGUUCCCUGUUU